UUUCCGUAGGUACGAGACAAUAUUUUUUUAACAUCAUUUUAAAACAAUUUACUAAUUAUUUUUUUCUAAAAAUUGUAGGUGAACCUGCGGAAGGAUCAUUAACGUCUUAUUUUUUUUUCUUCAUCGGAAAAAAAAUAUUACAAAAAAACAAAAAACCACAUGUGAACGAAAAUAACAAAAAAUAUUUUCAACUCCAAAUCAAAAAACAAAAUCAAAAAAAAACAAAACAAACAAGAACACAACUUCUAACAACGGAUGUCCUGGCUCUCGCAUCGAUGAAGAAUGCAGC
rnacentral:misc_RNA from 1 species